rnacentral:rRNA from 1 species
AACGAACGCUGGCGGCAGGCCUAACACAUGCAAGUCGAGCGAAGCCUUCGGGCUUAGCGGCGGACGGGUGAGUAACGCGUGGGAACGUGCCCUUUGGUACGGAAUAGCCCCGGGAAACUGGGAGUAAUACCGUAUGUGGUCGAGAGACGAAAGAUUUAUCGCCAAAGGAUCGGCCCGCGUUGGAUUAGGUAGUUGGUGGGGUAAUGGCCUACCAAGCCGACGAUCCAUAGCUGGUUUGAGAGGAUGAUCAGCCACACUGGGACCGAGACACGGCCAAGACUCCUACGGGAUGCAGCAGUGGGGAAUCUUAGACAAUGAGGGAAACCCUGAUCUAGCCAUGCCGCGUGAUCGAUGAAGGCCUUAGGGUUGUAAAGAUCUUUCAGUGGGGAAGAUAAUGACUGUACCCACAGAAGAAGCCCCGGCUAACUCCGUGCCAGCCGCCGCCGUAAUAC